rnacentral:rRNA from 1 species
GAUGAACGCUAGCUACAGGCUUAACACAUGCAAGUCGAGGGGAAACGAUAGAGAAAGCUUGCUUUUUCUAGGCGUCGACCGGCGCACGGGUGAGUAACGCGUAUCCAACCUGCCCACCACUUGGGGAUAACCUUGCGAAAGUAAGACUAAUACCCAAUGACGUCUCUAGAAGACAUCUGAAAGAGAUUAAAGAUUUAUCGGUGAUGGAUGGGGAUGCGUCUGAUUAGCUUGUUGGCGGGGUAACGGCCCACCAAGGCGACGAUCAGUAGGGGUUCUGAGAGGAAGGUCCCCCACAUUGGAACUGAGACACGGUCCAAACUCCUACGGGAGGCAGCAGUGAGGAAUAUUGGUCAAUGGACGAGAGUCUGAACCAGCCAAGUAGCGUGCAGGAUGACGGCCCUAUGGGUUGUAAACUGCUUUUAUAAGGGAAUAAAGUGAGUCUCGUGAGGCUUUUUGCAUGUACCUUAUGAAUAAGGACCGGCUAAUUCCGUG